GAUGAUUUGUUCUCAUUUGUUCAUCUUUGCGGUAUGUAUCACCUCAAACCCUUUACUAACAUAUCAUAUCAAUGCGUAAAAAUAUUAGAAACAUAUAGUAAAGCGUGAAGUGAACAAGUUUACGUAUAGAUGCAUAUAUUGUAAACAAGUUUUUUUUUGGUUGAAUACAAAUUUUACAUUCAUUCAAAAAAAAAAAAAAAAAAAAAAAAAAAAAAAGCGUGAAGUGAACCAUCAAGAGCAUAUAUAGACAGGUACUGCAUGCCUCAGUAUUUCGAAUGCUAAAUGAAUGAAAAUGAAGAGUUUGGUUUUGUAACUGGAAGCCGUGCGUGCGGGGUUAUUCCUUCUUCACUUAGGAAUGUGAAUAUAUAAUAAGUAUGCUUUAUUUAGAAACUCUCUCC
rnacentral:lncRNA from 1 species